ACAUGGUGCAGUUCUUAAAAUGCAUGGAUCUUAUCAUCUAAUGUCUUUGAGAACAAUUGAGGCAUUAGGAUGAAUGCUUCCCUUUGACUUCUCCUGGACUUUGUGAUGCAUCCUUGGCAUAUCCUCAGGCAGGGACAUUCCCGGGGGCUUCAUCAUCCUUCGGUGAGCUGCAGGUCGCUUGUCCUCAGUGGAUAGGAGACAUAUUGGGCCAGAACAGGCCUCAGGCUGUAAUAGAAAAGCAGCACCAGCACGUACAGCAGGGGACCUCGAGGAGGAGCCAGGACAGUGUCUGUCACUCAGUCCCGCUGAAGCUGCCUCAGAACCUGUGCUUGCG
rnacentral:lncRNA from 1 species